rnacentral:rRNA from 1 species
AGCAGCCGCGGUAAUUCCAGCUCCAAUAGCGUAUAUUAAAGUUGUUGCAGUUAAAAAGCUCGUAGUUGAAUUUCGGGAUCAAUACGUCGGUCGUGCUUCGGUACGUACUAACGUCAUUGGUUUCUCCCUUCUGACGAACCAUGAUGCCAUUAAUUUGGUGUUAUGGGAAAUCAGGACUGCUACUUUGAAAAAAUUAGAGUGUUUAAAGCAGGCUCACGCUUGAAUACAUUAGCAUGGAAUAAUGAAAUAGGACGUUCGACCCUAUUUUGUUGGUUUCUAGGAUCAACGUAAUGAUUAAUAGGGAUAGUUGGGGGCAUUAGUAUUCAAUUGUCAGAGGUGAAAUUCUUGGAUUUAUUGAAGACUAACUACUGCGAAAGCAUUUGCCAAGGAUGUUUUCAUUAAUCAAGGACGAAAGUUAGGGGAUCGAAGACGAUCAGAUACCGUCGUAGUCUUAACCAUAAACUAUGCCGACUAGGGAUCGGAUGAUGUUAAUUUUUAAUGACUCAUUCGGCGCCUUAAC